rnacentral:rRNA from 1 species
UACAGAGGUCUCAAGCGUUGUUCGGAUUCAUUGGGCGUAAAGGGUGCGUAGGUGGUGAGGUAAGUCGGAUGUGAAAUCUCCGGGCUCAACCCGGAAAUGGCAUUGGAAACUACCUUGCUUGAGGAUUUGAGGGGGGAUUGGAAUACUUGGUGUAGCAGUGAAAUGCGUAGAUAUCAAGUGGAACACCAGUGGCGAAGGCGAAUCCCUGGAAAAUACCUGACACUGAGGCACGAAAGCUAGGGGAGCAAACAGG